UUAAGCUGAAAGUGCCAAGUCCCUGAC
rnacentral:sRNA from 1 species